ACGGCUCAGUAACACGUAGACAAUCUGCCCUGAAGAAGAGAAUAAUCCCGGGAAACUGGGGGUAAUGCUCUAUAGUCCGGGAGGACUGGAAUGUUCUCCGGAUGAAAGAUCCGUCGCUUCAGGAUGAGUCUGCGGCCGAUUAGGUAGUUGUUGGGGUAAAAGCCCAACAAGCCUGUAAUCGGUACGGGUUGUGGGAGCAAGAGCCCGGAGAUGGAUUCUGAGACACGAAUCCAGGCCCUACGGGGCGCAGCAGGCGCGAAAACUUUACAAUGCGGGCAACCGUGAUAAGGAAACCCCGAGUGCCAGCACAGGCUGGCUGUCCACCAGUGUAAAAAACUGGUGAAGAAAGGGCCGGGCAAGACCGGUGCCAGCCGCCGCGGUAAUACCGGCGGCUCGAGUGGUGGCCGCUUUUACUGGGCUUAAAGGGUCCGUAGCUGGAUUCACAAGUCCCUUGAGAAAUCCAUCGGCUUAACUGAUGGGCGUUCAGGGGAUACUGUGGUUCCAGGGACCGGGAGAGGUGAGAGGUGCUGCCGGGGUAGGAGUGAAAUCCUGUAAUCCCGGUGGGACGACCUAUGGCGAAGGCAUCUCACCAGAACGGCUCCGACAGUGAGGGACGAAAGCUGGGGGAGCAAACCGGAUUAGAUACCCGGGUAGUCCCAGCUGUAAACGAUGCGCGUUAGGUGUGUCAGUGAUCACGUGUCACUGAGAUGCCGAAGGAAACCGUGAAACGCGCCGCCUGGGGAGUACGGUCGCAAGGCUGAAACUUAAAGGAAUUGGCGGGGGAG
rnacentral:rRNA from 1 species